AUAGGUUUGGUGGCAUUUAGUUAGUACAAUUGUUUUCUAUCCCAAAUUGCAAUAAAUAGAUUAAUUUGAAUUAAAUUCCACUUGCUUCUGAUUUUCAUUUUUUCUCUGUCAGUGAUAUAAAAAGACCUGAGAAUAUUAUAUGUGUCAGAGUUUGCAUUAGAUGAGGACAUGUACUGUGCUGUCUUGCAACUUCUUCAGGAGUAAAUAAUCGGGUGCCAGUUUGUCACCAUUGGCCAUGAAAAACAACUACAUGUAGAUGGCUACACUUGUCGGCUGAGGUGUAUACAUGCAGUGGAGCACCUGUUGGUAUAUGGAUUGGGCAAAACACCAAAGAUCUGCCAGCCAGACUUUUUAAUAGGCUAAAUGUGGCCAUUCUGGUUUUAAGAAAUAUUGAUGCUGCAGAUAAAAAGCACUUCAAAAUAAUACCAUUUGGGCAUAAGAGCAGGUUAAUUUUGUCAUAAUGCAACACUUGUGACAGUUUUUUUUAAUUAUACAAGUGCAAAGGGGAAUCUUAUGUGGCCCAGUGAUUAUAACUGUGACAUGUCUCUAUUUAAAACAAACGAUAAUGGAUCCAGUAUAAUUCUGGAAUGGGCCACUACUACCAAAUCCAGGAAAUAAUGUUACUAUUAUAUACUGCCAAAUACUCACAUCAAAUAUUAUAUAUAAAGAAUAUUGGAUCAAACUUUUGCUUUAACUGUGGGGGUUCCAUUACAUUAAUAUAUUAUUUUUUAAAUUUUUUAUUACUAUUACUAUUUCUAUAAGGUGCAGAUGGGAUGCUGUUGGUAUUUCUUUGAAAAUGGUGUCUGGGUGAUGGACUUGUUAAAGUCAUGUGCACUGGCAUCUGAAUUAAGGGUAUAAUACUGUACUGUAUUUAUGUCCUUCUUUUUAUAUAUAUAUCUGAAUGAAACACUGCAAGUGAAGUAAAUGGGCCAGUCAAUCUUAAGUUAUGCCAGAGCCCUCUAAGUUUAUUUUAUGAAAAAAAUUGAUAUACUGGAAUACAGUUAUUUAAAAUAAAAUUAAAUUUGGAUGGUUCACAACACUUUUUCCACUUCCAACCCAAGGUCUCUAUUACCUGCAGUAAACACACCUUAUGCAGUUUAUCUAAGAGAAAUCAAUAUAUGUGCAACAGUAACUUAAAAUGAUUAACCUACUGAUUGUUGUAAAAUAUUAAUUAAAAGAUGAGGCUCUCCUCUUAUCUUAUUUUAAAUGAUGUACUGUGUAUUAUUAAAGACAAGUGUGAAUGAAUUUUAUUUUAAGAAAAGAUCACAUUAGAUGAUAAAAUGUUGAACAAAUAUUUAUUGAUUUUGUUUAUUUACACGAAAAAGUACUCUAACCAAGAGAACAAAUAAGUUUGGAUUUCCCUCAACUCUUAAGAGAUUAUCAGAGGUUAGUCAUCUGUGAAGGUCACAUGGUUAAGUGGCAAGCACAGAUUCCAGAAUAAUUGCAAGAACCACCAUUUUAGUGGUAAAAUAGAAUUUAUAUUU